GGUUUGAUUAGCUUUCUAACGAGCUAUAAUACACCCUGAUCCGAUAUCAUUAGCCACAUGAAAUCUUCUUUAAAAGUCUACUCCAGAAUCUGGAAAGUUGUUCUAGUCUGUGCGGUUGUUUCUGUUACUGAUCUGACCUCUUUGCUAAAUGUCUUCGUUUGAGCUAGAAAAUGAUUUCAAUUGUGUUCGUGACCUUCUAAGGAUUCAUAGGAGACUUCUCAAGCUUUCUAAUGACAUAUUAUAUGUGCGAUUUGGCCAUCAUUUGCCCUGCCUGAUG
rnacentral:lncRNA from 1 species